GGGCAGAUGGCGAAAUUGGUAGACGCACCGCGCUUAGGACGCGGCGCCGCAAGGCAUGGGAGUUCAAGUCUCCCUCUGCCCA
rnacentral:tRNA from 1 species